rnacentral:sRNA from 1 species
UUCAAGGCCUUCCCUGACAGAGCCCGCCCCUCGCAGGCCUGGAGGUUUCUCUGCAAAGGAAACAAACAUUCAAACCUCCGAAUGGCGUGGGUCUUCUCUAGGGUGUGUGCCUGUCAACAAGUCACCAGUUCUGGAAGAGCUAAGGGGAAUGUGUGAGUUGCAGGGAGCCCACGGAGGGCUUUUCCUGGAGAAGGCUGUUUACCAGGAGGCGCGUGCUUGCUUCCAGGAAGAGAAAACCCUGUUACACAGAGGAUGAAUUGAUUUAUGCAGACAGUUUAAAGGGUGUUCGCAGCUCUGAGGAAUGCAAGCGGCAGCAUGAUUUGAAGAGAUAACUACUAACCUGAGCUCAGAGUUUAUCAUUCCGGUUCAUUGAACAAAAGAGUCAUGGGACCAAAGAGAUGGCUCAGCAGGCCUUUCUCUUCAAGCUGGAAAGUGGCACGGCAGAUUCUCACUGCCUCCUGAUUACGCAGUGACUCCGUCUCCCUAACAAAUGGCCCGUGGAGAAUGAAGCGGAAAGCAGGAAUGUCCUCCUUGAAAGCGAUUAUGUGGAAAUUCGGAUUCCAAGGGUGGAGAGCGAAGCAUGUGGUUUUGUGCUGAGCUGUGUAAUACGUCAGGGCUCAGAAGACCGCGUGAGACAGGUAACAGGCAGCAGCAGGCUAUAUUUAGAGAAGAGAGAGAUGAGUGGAAUUCCGGGUCCUGUUGUCCACCUGUCCUGUCUCCAGGUGUUGACAUCUAAAUUAUGAGCCCAGUCAUAGGCUCCCUCCAUGUGCUUCCUUGCCCUUCUUCUGGCCCUGUAGACACACUGGGCUGCCUUUGAUCAUCAGUGCCAUGACUCACCCCCUUUCCACCCAUCCUGAGCACCAGAAAUCAAUAAGAGGAUCAUUUAAAAAUCCAUCCAGGGCCUGAGAAGGGCCCCUUACAAGACGUUGAAUCCUAAAUAAAGGAACAUCAGGGCUGGGAGGUGGAUGUGUUGUUGUUCUCUUUUGACUCAAAGAGAUCUAUUUGUAGCUGUGUACUUUCUCUUGCUAGUGUGGAAUUCUGCCUGGGCUGUUAAUCUAGAUUCUCCUUCAGAUAGCACACAAGAUGGACGGCAUUGGCUUAUUCAUGCUGCAGUGUGAGAGAACUUGAAAAGAGGAUAAAAGUAUGAUUAAUCACCUUUUUUUUUCUCCCUCAGCAUAUCAAUGUUAAAGAUUUGAACUCAAAAUUACAAGUCAGUUUAUGGUGAUUCACAGCAAUUAUUACUACUUACCUGUGUGACUAUAGAAAGUAGGAGUUUGUUUGUUUGCUUUCAAGACACUGUUUUACCAUGCUUAAAACAUUCUGUUUAGACCAGAAAGACCUCGAACUCACGGUGAUCCACUUAGCCCCACCUCCUCAGUGCUGGCAUUAAAGGCAUGUGCCACCAGGCCUGGUCUUAGAACUGUUCUUAUAAAUGGGGUAAAAUGUGCUGUUGAUGUUCCGGUGCCCCAGUGUCCAGUGUCUGAUCUGAGUGUGUUUGGAAGAUUUCAGGCAGGAUUUGGAGACACAAGUCCUUGUGUUUCUAUUGCUGAGGGAAGUUUUCCUUAAAAUGGCAGUUUCUGGUGUCCUCAUUGAGAUGAGAGUUUAGUCUCCCCAUCUUGACAGGAUUGUAGAAGAGCGUGCAUUUUACAAAAGGUAAACGGACUCUCAAUAAAAACACCGAGGGGCUAUGACAUUUCAGAAUCACCCUCUGGGGGAGGUAGCAGACACGAGGAAGGCUCUGGAGUCAGUAAAAGCUUCUUUCAGAUUGCUGGUCCAAGGUGUCAUAUCUGAUUAUUUUAGUGUCCAGGUGAUAAUCAAUAGUUUUAUUGAUUCUUUGAGAGUUUCACAAAGUGUAUUUUAGUGAUACUUAACCCCAGCUCCUCCAAGAUCCACCUUCAUGACCCUUAGCUCCGGACUCACUCAACUUUGUCUUCUUUUUCCCCCCUCCUCUCCCUCCUCC